GGUUUCAUGGUGUAGUUGGUUAUCACGCGACCUUAACAUUGCUUUCGAGUAUGUGAUCGGUCGAGGUCUUGAGUUCGAUCCUCAAUGAAAUCA